rnacentral:rRNA from 1 species
GCGCGGGGACCACCCCGUAAGGCUAAAUACUACUUAGUGACCGAUAGCGUAUAGUACCGUGAGGGAAAGGUGAAAAGGACCCCGGGAGGGGAGUGAAAGAGAACCUGAAACCCUGUGCCUGCAAGCUGCGAAAGCCCCAUACGAGGGUGAUCGCGUACUUUUUGUAGAACGGUCCGGCGAGUUAUGUAUGGAGGCAAGGUUAAGCACUUAAGGUGAAUAGCCGAAGGGAGACCGAGUCUGAACAGGGCGAUAGUCUUUAUACAUAGACCCGAAACCGGGUGAUCUAUCCAUGGACAGGAUGAAGCGGCCGUAAAAGGCUGUGGAGGUCCGAACACACAUCCGUUGAAAAGGGUGGUGAUGAGCUGUGGAUAGGGGAGAAAUUCCAAUCGAACUCGGAGAUAGCUGGUUCUCCCCGAAAUAGCUUUAGGGCUAGCCCUGUAUCAAACCUUUUGGAGGUAGAGCACUGAAUAUCCGCGGGGGCUUCACCGCUUACCAAAGAUUAUCAAACUCCGAAUGCCAACAAGGUGGUGAACAGGAGUCAGACUACACGAGAUAAGUUGGGUAGUCAAAAGGGAAAGAGCCCAGAUCCACGGCUAAGGUCCCAAAGUGCGUGUUAAGUGGAAAAGGAUGUGGGAUUUCAUAGACAGCUAGGAUGUUGGCUCAGAAGCAGCCACACAUUCAAAGAGUGCGUAAUAGCUCACUAGCCGAGAGGUCCUGCGCCGAAAAUUACCGGGGCUGAAACACGACACCGAAGCCUGGGGAUUGUAUGUAUCUACGGGUACAUGUGAUCGGUAGGGGAGCAUUCUAAAGGGCGAAGAAACCGUACCGGAAGGAGCGGCGGAGCGUUUAGAAGAGAGAAUGCCGGAAUGAGUAGCGAGAUGGAGGUGAGAAUCCUCCAGGCCGAAUAUCCAAGGAUUCCAGGGUAAAGCUGAUCUGCCCUGGGGAAGUCGGGACCUAAGGCGAGGCCGUAAGGCGUAGUCGAUGGACAGCAGGUUGAUAUUCCUGCACUUAUGCAUAUCAGAACUGUGGGGACGCAGGCAAAAGGAGUGAGCCGGGAAAGGAAAGCCCGGUCCCGCAAGGGGGAACGAACUAAAGUAGUGAAGCACUAGAUAUGACUGCCAAGAAAAGCCACUAUUGCGUAUGUAUAACCCGUACCGUAAACCGACACAGGUGGAUGAGGAGAGAAUCCUAAGGCCGACGGGAGAAGCAUUGUUAAGGAACUCGGCAAAAUGUCCCCGUAACUUCGGGAUAAGGGGAGCCCACCUAAGACGUGGGCCGCAGAGAAGAGGCUCAAGCAACUGUUUAGCAAAAACACAGGUCUAUGCGAAACCGAAAGGUGAAGUAUAUGGGCUGACGCCUGCCCGGUGCUGGAAGGUUAAGAGGAGAGGUUAGCGCAAGCGAAGCUUUGAAUUUAAGCCCCAGUAAACGGCGGCCGUAACUAUAACGGUCCUAAGGUAGCGAAAUUCCUUGUCGGGUAAGUUCCGACCCGCACGAAAGGCGUAAUGAUUUGAGCACUGUCUCGGCAAUGCACCCGGUGAAAUUGAAGUACCAGUGAAGAUGCUGGUUACCCGCGCCAGGACGGAAAGACCCCAUGGAGCUUUACUCCAGGUUGAUACUGGGAGCCGGUAUUAUAUGUACAGGAUAGGUGGGAGACU